rnacentral:rRNA from 1 species
CCGGUUGAUCCUGCCAGUAGUCAUAUGCUUGUCUCAAAGAUUAAGCCAUGCAUGUCUUAGUACUAGCCCUAGUAUGGUGAAACCGCGAAUGGCUCAUUAAAUCACACUUAAUGUAACGGACAAUGCUCUUACAUGGAUAACUGCGGUAAUUCUGGAGCUAAUACAUGCCCAAAGCCCCAACUUUUGAAGGGGUGCUUUUAUUAGAUCAAAACCUACCAGCUUCGGCUGUAAACAUGGUGAGUCUGAGUAACUUUGCCGAUCGUAUGGCUUCUAUGCUGACGAUGUGUCCGUCCAAAGUGUGCCCUAUCAACUGUCGACUGUGGCAUAGACGCCCACUGUGGUUAUGACGGGUAACGGGGAAUUAGGGUUCGAUUCCGGAGAGGGAGCCUGAGAAACGGCUACCACUUCUAAGGAAGGCAGCAGGCACGCAAAUUACCCAAUGGGCGAAGCCCGAGGUAGUGACGAAAAAUAACGAUACUGGUCUCUUCCGAGGCCCAGUAAUCGGAAUGAGUACACUUUAAAUCCUUUAAUGAGGAACAAUUGGAGGGCAAGUCUGGUGCCAGCAGCCGCGGUAAUUCCAGCUCCAAUAGCGUAUAUUAAAGUUGUUGCGGUUAAAAAGCUCGUAGUUGGAUCUCGCGCGGCACGGAGCGGUUCGUUGUUCAACGCUACUGUUCCACGUGUCUGCGGUUUGACGGUUCACUUGCCAGUUCCCCUUGAUUGUGGUGUUGGUGAGGCCUGUCAGGUUUACUUUGAAAAAAUUAGAGUGCUCAAAGCAGGUAUGCGCCUGAAUAUUCGUGCAUGGAAUAAUGGAAUAGGAAGUCGUUUCUAUUUUGUUGGUUUUCGGAAAGGACUUAAUGAUUAAUAGGGACAAUUGGGGGCAUUGGUAUUCAGACGACAGAGGUGAAAUUCUUGGACCGUCUGAAGACUGACUACUGCGAAAGCAUUUGCCAAGAGUGUUUUCAUUAAUCAAGAACGAAAGUUAGAGGUUCGAAGGCGAUCAGAUACCGCCCUAGUUCUAACCAUAAACGAUGCCAGCUAGCGAUCCGUAGGCGUGUAUAAUAAAGACUCUACGGGGAGCUUUCGGGAAACCAAAGCUUUUGGGUUCCGGGGGAAGUAUGGUUGCAAAGCUGAAACUUAAAGGAAUUGACGGAAGGGCACCACCAGGAGUGGAGCCUGCGGCUUAAUUUGACUCAACACGGGAAACCUCACCAGGCCCGGACACUGGAAGGAUUGACAGAUUGAGAGCUCUUUCUCGAUUCAGUGGGUGGUGGUGCAUGGCCGUUCUUAGUUGGUGGAGUGAUUUGUCUGGUUAAUUCCGAUAACGAACGAGACUCUGUCCUACUAAAUAGUUUCUUCAUUUCAUAUGUGGAGAUAUUCUUCUUAGAGGGACUGGCGGAUUGUAGCCGCACGAGAUUGAGCAAUAACAGGUCUGUGAUGCCCUUAGAUGUUCUGGGCUGCACACGCGSUACACUGAAGGGAUCAGCGUGCUCUCCCACUCCGAGAGGAGCGGGUAACCCGUUGAACCCCCUUCGUGGUAGGGAUUGGAGCUUGCAAUUAUUCUCCAUGAACCAGGAAUUCCCAGUAAGCGCAAGUCAUAAGCUUGCGUUGAUUACGUCCCUGCCCUUUGUACACACCGCCCGUCGCUACUACCGAUUGAACGUUUUAGUAAGGUAGUUGGACUUGUGUCUGAAGGUGUUUCACUGUCCGGACACGGGAAAGACUCCCAAACUUGAGCGUUUAGAGGAAGUAAAAGUCGUAACA